rnacentral:rRNA from 1 species
UACGUAGGGGGCAAGCGUUGUCCGGAAUCAUUGGGCGUAAAGCGCGCGCAGGCGGUCCUUUAAGUCUGAUGUGAAAGCCCACGGCUCAACCGUGGAGGGUCAUUGGAAACUGGGGGACUUGAGUGCAGAAGAGGAGAGUGGAAUUCCACGUGUAGCGGUGAAAUGCGUAGAGAUGUGGAGGAACACCAGUGGCGAAGGCGACUCUCUGGUCUGUAACUGACGCUGAGGCGCGAAAGCGUGGGGAGCAAACAGG